rfam:Canis lupus familiaris chromosome 1, whole genome shotgun sequence.
GCCUGCCUGGCUCAGUUGGUGGAGCAUGUGACUCUUGAUCUCAGGAUUAUGAGUUCAAGCACCAUGUUGGGCA